rnacentral:lncRNA from 1 species
AAAAUCUCAAGAGAGAUAGGCCAAUGUAGGUAUUUUAAUCAGGAAAGAAAGAAGGUAGUAAGAGGGCAAGAAGAGAGGGACAAAAAGAAUCCACGCCUUACCUGGACUACUGGAAAUGUUUACCUAGAGAGGGAAAAGAUUUAUACUAUGGUCCUUUUUAGCAUCUACUAGAAGAUAAAUGGUACGAGAUGUUUUUGUGCACUAAAUCAACAGGCUUUGCACGUUUUUUAUACAAGGAGUUUUGGGAUUGGCGGUUGGGUUAUAACGUUGGCUGUCAUCUCAUUCAAAUCCAGUUUGUUACAAGCAAUAACAAUGAGGAGGCAUAGGAAGGAAGGCCCUCUCUGUAGACUAUGCAGCAGACAUGAUCUCAGGUCUGAGGAAUAAAAGAACAGGAACUGCGGCAAAUGCAGGCCUAAUACCAUCAGGCUCAAAAGACAUAGCUUUCAGAAACCUCAAUUUCCAUGUAAGUUGGCCAUCUUUGAGGAAAUGCAUCUAAUAAUAUUUCCUCAAUGAAUUUCAAUAAAUGAAACACACUGGCUACAAGAGGAGGAAGAGAAAUACAGUAAUACGAACAUUCAAGUCGCGAAGUCUCACAGAUACGAACCGCCCUCUGGUCACAAACGCUCAGAGAUGGGAACACAGUGCAGGAGUCGCUCACUCGCCAGCCGGACACCGUUAACAGUUGCGCUGCUGUGUGUUUCCUGUGGAGUAGCUCAGCGCUCAGUUAGAGCCCCGGAUGUCCGGAAGCGGAAAGGAGAAGCACUGGUGAUGGGGAGGGGACCGCUGGGUAGCACGAAGCCACGUUUGUGUCGCUUAAUCAGAUUUAUGAGUCCAGUGGCAGAUAGGGUGUAGAUCUAGGGUUUGUGUGAACUCACGGUGGUCUUUAGCUUCGGCCCAGCGGCACAGGGAGCAGAGGGGAAGUCACUUCAAUCAAGACCAGG